UACGUAGGGUCCGAGCGUUGUCCGGAAUUAUUGGGCGUAAAGAGCUCGUAGGCGGUCUGUUGCGUCGGUUGUGAAAACCUGGGGCUCAACUCCAGGCCUGCAAUCGAUACGGGCAGACUAGAGUUCGGUAGGGGAGACUGGAAUUCCUGGUGUAGCGGUGAAAUGCGCAGAUAUCAGGAGGAACACCGGUGGCGAAGGCGGGUCUCUGGGCCACUACUGACGCUGAGGAGCGAAAGCCAGGGGAGCGAACGGG
rnacentral:rRNA from 1 species